GGUAGGAAUGGAUGGGCACCCACAGGGAUUCAGAGGGACCCGUUGAAAGACCAUGUUUUGAUCAUCCGGUCUUCAAACACCCUGAAGUGCGAGGACAUACACGGAGGCGAUCAAAUCUUGUGGGGAACGUGUGCAAAACUCUGCAGAGUACUCAAACCUAAUCGAUUAGCCGUGUCCACGGUCAUGGACAACUUGAGCCAAAGGAACUGAAGUUAUCUGAAAUUCUCAACACAAAUCAUAAUAUGGAUGUGGGAAUUAUUGACAACUCGGGUACGAGAACUGGUUGGCGGAACCAUCUCGUUAACAACCAACCUUGUAGUAAUAUUUUGCUUUUAGCCCCUCUUGUUGUAGAAGAAAAUUUGCUUUACGCUAAAAACUUACAACACCACCUGCCAUAUAUGCAUAUAGUAUAGAUG
rnacentral:lncRNA from 1 species